AUGAUCACAUGUGAUUGUGGGAAAGAUUUAUCGGUAUGGGAUGGGGUCGCGUCCUAUCAGGUAGUUGGUGGGGUAAUGGCCUACCAAGCCUACGACGGGUAGCCGGCCUGAGAGGGCGACCGGCCACAUUGGGACUGAGAUACGGCCCAGACUCCUACGGGAGGCAGCAGUGGGGAAUAUUGCACAAUGGGCGCAAGCCUGAUGCAGCGACGCCGCGUGCGGGAUGACGGCCUUCGGGUUGUAAACCGCUUUUGUUAGGGAGCAAGCGCAAGUGAGUGUACCUUUCGAAUAAGCACCGGCUAACUACGUGCCAGCAGCCGCGGUAAUACGUAGGGUGCAAGCGUUAUCCGGAAUUAUUGGGCGUAAAGAGCUCGUAGGCGGUUUGUCGCGUCUGGUGUGAAAGUCCAUCGCUUAACGGUGGAUCUGCGCCGGGUACGGGCAGGCUAGAGUGUGGUAGGGGAGACUGGAAUUCCCGGUGUAACGGUGGAAUGUGUAGAUAUCGGGAAGAACAC
rnacentral:rRNA from 1 species